CGUAGGUGGCAAGCGUUGUCCGGAUUUAUUGGGUUUAAAGGGUGCGUAGGCGGCCCUGUAAGUCAGUGCUGAAAUAUCCCGGCUUAACCGGGAGGGUGGCAUUGAUACUGCAGGGCUUGAGUAAAGUUGAGGUAGGCGGAAUUGACGGUGUAGCGGUGAAAUGCUUAGAUAUCGUCAAGAACACCGAUAGUGUAGACAGCUUACUAAGCUUUAACUGACGCUGAGGCACGAAAGUGUGGGGAUCAAACAGGAUUAGAUACCCUGGUAGUCCACACUGUAAACGUUGAAGACUCGCUGUUGGCGAUACACAGUCAGCGGCUGAGAGAAAUCGUUAAGUCUCCCACCUGGGGAGUACGCCGGCAACGGUG
rnacentral:rRNA from 1 species